ensembl:lncRNA
GGUGAGGUAGCAAUGUGAGUUAUUAGGCCAUUGGCAUCCACUGGGCAAUGCACAACAGGACAAGGAGCCUGUGAGGGCUGUGGUCUUGGAGGCACUGCAAGAGAUUGGGCAACAGCUCCAGCCUGUGGCUUUCUGUUGUGAUGGAAAAGAUCUGAUUUAUACCUAAAGAUGAUGAUCUAGAAUGAGAGGGCUGAGGCCUUGGAGGUGGAGGUGGUGGUGCAGUGUUUUUAGGAGAGGUUCCUGAAUGAGACCUUGGAUGAGUUACAUUGUUUCCAAUCUGUUCUGGAUCUGAAGAUCGUCAUAACUACUGGAUUGCCUACGAAUUUCAUUGGCAGUUGUAGCUGAGGCUACAGUUCGUAUUGUUGUCUGGUCCUAGACAGAAGCAGGAUGCAUGGUUAAAAGAGUACUGGUUAGUGGAAUAUCUGCAAAACUGACCCAGUUUUCUUGAGGUGGAGGUGGAGAAUGUCCUACCUACACUGUGUCACCAGCAGAAGAACCUGAUUGUGCUUCACCAAAGGGAGCCCAGAAUGGCCCAGGCUCUGCAAGAGGCCUCUCACUCUUUCCUCCACUGGGAUGACGGUUUUGAUUCCUCCAUGUGUGUGGAGAAGUUGGUGGAGACUGCUGUGGGGAUCUUCCUGACCCAGGGAUCAAACCGGCAUCUCCUGCAGCCCCUUCGUUGCAGGUGGAUUCUUUACCUCUGGGCCACCAGGGAAGCCCUUUAAAUUGUCUACUUAAAUA